rnacentral:rRNA from 1 species
AGCGAACGCUGGCGGCAGGCCUAACACAUGCAAGUCGAACGAACCUUUCGGGGUUAGUGGCGGACGGGUGAGUAACACGUGGGAACGUGCCUUUAGGUUCGGAAUAACUCAGGGAAACUUGUGCUAAUACCGAAUGUGCCCUUCGGGGGAAAGAUUAAUCGCCUUUAGAGCGGCCCGCGUCUGAUUAGCUGGUUGGUUGAGGUAAUGGCUCACCAAGGCGACGAUCAGUAGCUGGUCUGAGAGGAAGUUCAGCCACAUUGGGACUGAGACACGGCCCAAACUCCUACAGGACGCAGCAGUGCGGAAUCUUGCGCAAUGCGCGAAAGCCUGACGCAGCCAUGCCGCGUGAAUGAUGAAGGUCUUAGGAUUGUAAACUUCUUUCACCGGGGACGAUAAUGACGGUACCCGGAGAAGAAGCCCCGGCUAACUUCGUG